rnacentral:sRNA from 1 species
UCCCGCCGCCCUCCUUGGGCGUUUCCUCCCUAGACUUGGGCCGUCGGCUUGCCGACGGCCCUCUUUCUUUUUUGAG